rnacentral:rRNA from 1 species
AGAGUUUGAUCCUGGCUCAGAAUCAACGCUGGCGGCGUGCCUCAGACAUGCAAGUCGAACGAUUAAACUUUCCUUCGGGGAAGAAAUAAAGUGGCGCACGGGUGAGUAACACGUAAGUAAUCUACCUUUGAGUGGGGAAUAACGUUCGGAAACGGACGCUAAUACCGCAUAAUGCAGCGGCACCGCAAGGUGACAGUUGUUAAAGGAGCAAUCCGCUUAAAGAGGAGCUUGCGGCAGAUUAGCUAGUUGGUAAGGUAAUGGCUUACCAAGGCAACGAUCUGUAACCGGUCUAAGAGGACGGUCGGUCACACUGACACUGAAUAACGGGUCAGACUCCUACGGGAGGCAGCAGUCGGGAAUUUUGGGCAAUGGGCGAAAGCCUGACCCAGCAACGCCGCGUGAAGGAUGAAGUAUUUCGGUAUGUAAACUUCGUAAGAAUAGGAAGAAUAAAUGACGGUACUAUUUGUAAGGUCCGGCUAACUACGUGCCAGCAGCCGCGGUAAUACGUAGGGACCAAGCGUUGUUCGGAUUUACUGGGCGUAAAGGGCGCGUAGGCGGCAAUUCAAGUCAUCUGUGAAAUCUCCGGGCUUAACUCGGAAUGGUCAGGUGAUACUGCUUUGCUAGAGUGCAGAAGGGGCAAUUGGAAUUCUUGGUGUAGCGGUGAAAUGCGUAGAUAUCAAGAGGAACACCUGAGGUGAAGGCGGGUUGCUGGGCUGACACUGACGCUGAGGCGCGAAAGCUAGGGUAGCAAACGGGAUUAGGUACCCCGGUAGUCCUAGCCCUAAACGAUGAAUACUUGGUGUCUGGAGUUUUUAUCCUCCGGGUGCCGUCGCUAACGUUUUAAGUAUUCCGCCUGGGGAGUACGCACGCAAGUGUGAAACUCAAAGGAAUUGACGGGGACCCGCACAAGCGGUGGAGCAUGUGGUUUAAUUCGACGCAACGCGAAGAACCUUACCUGGACUAGAAUGUGAGGGAAGGGCUUCUAACAGAGUCCGUCCGGGCAACCGGACCCGAAACAAGGUGCUGCAUGGCUGUCGUCAGCUCGCGUCGUGAGAUGUUGGGUUAAGUCCCGCAACGAGCGCAACCC